CUUUGUAGAUGUUUUUCCAUAUCACCUUUGCUCAGUCUAACAUCUACUAACUGGAGUGUCAGCUGAUGAAGUUGGACGAUGUUCCUCAUGGAGAGGAUUUGCAUUUUGCGUCUGUGGUUUCUUCAUACACGCUAAAUCUCAGUUAUCAUCAUCAUUAACUAAUCGCAUUGAUGCCUAGGUCUGAAUAAUUUGUACAUUUGUCAUUUCAGCAUAUAUCAGCUUGCUAGAUUUCUUCAGCUGGCAAUAGAGUGUACAAUCGUUUGUUUGUAAAUCUGGUGUCUGAAUUUAAAACUGCUCUAGAUGUUUAAAACUGCUCUAGAUGAAUAAUUAAGCUAGCUCUAUGUUUAGAUGUAAAGAAGAAUUCAUGAUUUUUUUUCUUCCAGGCCAGCAAGAUUCUCAACACCGGUGCAUUGUUGGCUCUCAAUUUGUGUCUCAUCUUGAUGAGCCCCACCCAAUCUCUAAUUAGUACAGGGACACUAGAAAGCAGCCAUGCAGACAACCUUGGUGCAGGAUCUGUCACCUCCAGAAUUUCAAUUGAAGGUCAUUGUGUGUGUCGCUUGAAUCGGGCAACAUAGGGAUUAAGCGAACUGGCAAAAUUUGUUUGAGCUAGACUUCACUGUUAUUGACCAAGAGUUACCUUCUAAAUAUUGAGGCACUAUGUUUGAGUCAGUAGACACUUUUGUGUUUCUUCCGUCAAGCAUGCCCUGUACAUGCACCUACUGGCCUUAUAUUUCAGGGCAAUAAAAUGGAAGGCUGCAUCCCAGCCAAUCGAAUUGACCAGUUCAGACAUACAGAAAAGGAAGGUUCGAUAAACAGUUUCGAGUCAUUUAUUGUUGCCGCCGUGUGGAGCAAAUACAGGGCAACAGAUCAUACAUAUAGAAUUGAAAUUACCCAACGCAGAGGUUAUCGAAUCGAUUCCUCAGCCUGAAAACUAUCUUCUGUUUGAUGCUCUGCAGUCAUGCGUAGUGGACACUACCGUUCUGUCAGGUUUUCAGUGAAUAGUACAUGUAUGUAAUUUGCUCUAAAACAUCUUGGAUUGCCAAAAAAAAAUUCUUCCACACCAUUUUCUGCAUCAAC